UACGAAGGGGGCUAGCGUUGCUCGGAAUCACUGGGCGUAAAGGGUGCGUAGGCGGGUCUUUUAAGUCAGGGGUGAAAUCCUGGAGCUCAACUCCAGAACUGCCUUCGAUACUGGGAGUCUUGAGUCCGGGAGAGGUGAGUGGAACUGCGAGUGUAGAGGUGAAAUUCGUAGAUAUUCGCAAGAACACCAGUGGCGAAGGCGGCUCACUGGCCCGGUACUGACGCUGAGGUGCGAAAGCGUGGGGAGCAAACAGG
rnacentral:rRNA from 1 species